UCUGGACCUACAAUUUCAUUGUUCUAAGGAACUCCCAGUGAGAAAGCAUCAUCAGCCAGAGUUUAGCAGCACUUGCAUUACAGUUUGUUGUGAUGCCUGGAAUUCAAAGAUCAGUGACUUGAGGAGGAAAUUGAGGAAAACGGGGUUAAAGUGACGUGCCCAGGAACACAACAUGAACACUAACCAGUAUUUAAAAAUGCCCCUUUUCUGGACAAGCAAUCCUUGCUUAUGGAGAGCAAAGGAUGGAAUGCUCCAACUGGCUUAUGCCGAAAAUCACACCAGAAGUCUCUCAGAGAGAAGAGAAGAGCAAUGCUGAUUGACCUCCUUGCUAUUCAUCAGAGUGAUAGAUAUGGGACACAAAUGUCCUCUAUAUGUGCAUGUGUGUCAAGAGAAGUAUCUAUGCAUGUGGAAGAUAAAUAGGUGUGUCCUGGCCAUGUUCUUACCACAAAAUCCAAGGAAUUGAGAAACUUCUUUUUGUUGUGUUUGGGCAUUACUCUAAAUAGAUGAGGAAUCCUGGAAACUUUAAGGUCUGUGGAUUUUAAUUGAAUUAAUACUGGUCAUAUUCAUACAUUCAUUCAGCUACAUUCAUUGAGGGCAUGAUCCACUGAACUAUAAGUCCUGACUAUAUAUUGAAUGUGAGCAAAGAAGGGGUAAUAUACAAGAUGAACCAGUGGUAUAAAUUCAAGGCUGUAAAUUAGUCCUCAAAGAUAUCCUUGAGAUUUAGUGAGGUGGAAUUCAUGACUGGGAUAUGCCUACGGAAGGGUUUACCUUAAUGCUUUAUCUUGUCACAAUAGAAACAAAUAUCUCUUAAAAGUUUAUCCACUGUGAAUAGAAUGCGUAGCUGUGCCCUUUAACUGUAAAAACAUGGCAUAAAAGUAUUGGGCAACUGCAUUAGAAUACUUUUGUUUCUACUCAAUGUUGAUUUUAUUUACAUUGUUACUUUCAUGUAUAUUUGGGGGGGAUUUGCUUUCUUUACUUCACACAUGUCCCUUGUUUCACUGAAUUCUUUAUAUUCAUCAUCCAUUAAUUUGAUGAUUUAAUGUAAUUCCAUUACAUUAAAUAACACAAUUUGGUCAUUCAUUUUCAAAUCAUUGGGUAUGUAUUUUGUUUUCAAAAUAUAUGAUUGCCCUGGAUGCAGUUAACAGAGUGCCAGGCCCAGUGCCAAGAAGAUCUGAGACCAAAUCUGACCUCACACAUUAGCUAUGUGACCUUGGGCAAGUCACUGAAACCUACUUGCUUCAGUUUCCUCAACAUCUCUUAAUUCACCAUAAAAGUACUUUGGCUUGCAAAGCUUUAAAACAUAGGAUAGUUUUUUUAUUUACACAGCAAAGACAUAGAAAUGACACUUCUAAGCCUCUAGAGAGUGAGUUAUAAUCCCUCCAGCAGGUUAUAAUUGUGAGAGUAAAAAUGAAUGAAUACU
rnacentral:lncRNA from 1 species